GUGGGGAAUAUUGCACAAUGGGCGCAAGCCUGAUGCAGCCAUGCCGCGUGUAUGAAGAAGGCCUUCGGGUUGUAAAGUACUUUCAGCGGGGAGGAAGGUGUUGUGGUUAAUAACCACAGCAAUUGACGUUACCCGCAGAAGAAGCACCGGCUAACUCCGUGCCAGCAGCCGCGGUAAUACGGAGGGUGCAAGCGUUAAUCGGAAUUACUGGGCGUAAAGCGCACGCAGGCGGUCUGUCAAGUCGGAUGUGAAAUCCCCGGGCUCAACCUGGGAACUGCAUUCGAAACUGGCAGGCUAGAGUCUUGUAGAGGGGGGUAGAAUUCCAGGUGUAGCGGUGAAAUGCGUAGAGAUCUGGAGGAAUACCGGUGGCGAAGGCGGCCCCCUGGACAAAGACUGACGCUCAGGUGCGAAAGCGUGGGGAGCAAACAGGAUUAGAUACCCUUGUAGUCC
rnacentral:rRNA from 1 species